GGUUCCAUAGAAGGCUCUUUUAGGGAGAAUCUUAUGGAGAACCCUUAAAACGACAGAAGAUGUUGAUGAAUAAAUGCUUUUGGUCCAAAUUGAGGUAUUGAGGUAUAAUUAGUGCAGCGCUUCCUUUUGCAUUCUGGUUGGACCAAGAAGAAUUGGGAACUCACCUAUUCAGCCAUGAAUGCAUGUUAGGCACCAGUAGAUGCAGUGAUGGAUGAGUUGUGGACUUGAGAGGUUUGAACAACCCAAUUCACUCAAAUUUCAAACCUCAACUCCCAACUAGAUGGGGCCAGCCAUUGAAACCCUUUCCACCACUUAGCUAUGACCAAACUUUUCUGUUAAUUGUUGCAAUAAUCAUUUUUACCUCUUCAAUAGACUGGUUUCUUUCUUUCUUCUCCUCUCUAUCGCGCACCUGAAUUCAUCUAAUAUCCUUAUUGUUUUGUUUUGGGUUUUCUCUUUAUAAUUUAUUGAAGCUCCAUUGACGUUUCUUCUAUGCAGUUCCUUAUAAGGCAACUGAUUUAUUUCACAAGCUUCAACAUUUAAAAGUUUACACGGAAGUUAAUAAAGCUCGAGUUCCCAGGAAUUAGGUGUCUGAGGUCCAAAGGUAUUACUACCUGAUACUUUUUUAUUUGAUCGAGAUAUGAGUCGUAGGGUGCGGCGUAAAGUGGCAAAGAAGGGAAAGGACAAGGUGUUUUUGCCUAGUCUUCCUGAAAUUGAUGAUGAGGUUUCAUGUUCUGAUAGC
rnacentral:misc_RNA from 1 species